AUCAUUGCCGUUAAUAUUAAUCAUCUUGAUAUUGGCUUUGGGGUGUUACCUGUGUGGCCGGGCCAAGGGUCGGCGACAAAACCCACAGCAGUAUGGGCCUCCUGCUCCUCCAGUACAGGCCCAACCCAAAUAAUGCCUACCCUCUGUGGUUUGAGUUUGUUCAUCAUCAACACUGCAGCCACUUUGGAUUGGAGUUUGAAAACUAUACAUAUAUAUCAACACAUCCAGCUUUUUUUCUUGGAUAACAUGGUUAUCUAUCUACACAGUUGAUGAAAAACUAGUACAAUGGAAUGCUACGGUUCAUAGCUUAAUAUUGAAUAAAAUAGUAGAGCAUUGAAAUUUGUUUCCACAUUAGUGGGUAUAUUUGGUGAUUAAAUAUUUAAGGUACAAGAACUGGUUGAUGCUAUGAGAGUAUGUAAAGAGGCAUUACAUAUUAGUAUGUGUUGGACAAGUUUAUGAGAACUCUAACUCCAAGAUUUAAUCAUGUUGUUAUGGUUAUUGAGAAAACUCGUGAUUUGAAGGAGAUUGAAGAACUUCAACAUUUAUUGAAAGUACAUGAAUACCGUAUUAAUGAGUGAAGACACUCUUAAGAACAAAUACUCCAAGCUUGAUCUCAAUACAAAGAUAAAGAAAGGGUUCAAGAAAGGUGACAAAAGUGGCAUUAAGCACAUUCUAACGAUCCUAUCAAAGGCAAAAAGAAAAAAUCUUGCACCAAUUUUGAUGGAGAUAUAGAAGUUUGAUAAAAAUAAAAAUAAAGGUAAGGUGCUAUAUCUGUCAGAAAUUUGGAAAUUUUGCCAAAGAAUGUUGGAAAAGGGAUGGAGCCAAGAACAAACCAAAAGAUAGAGCUCAUCUAGCACAAGAUGAUACUUCAAAUUUCGAGGUUGUUAUGUUAAUGGCCAGUAUAAAUGAAAACUAGUCCGAUGAUGCAAUUUGGUACUUGGAUUCAAGUUGUUCAACACAUAUGACUAGAAAGAAGGAGUGGUUUGUAAAAAUGAAAGAAGCCAUGCAAGGGAAGAUUAAGUUUGCUGAUAACAAAAGUCUCACGGUAGGGGGACCUGGAAGAGUUGUUUUGAGAGAUAGUGAUGAUAGAGAAGUUGUGAUUGAUGAAGUGUUAUAUGUUCCUGUUGAAAACAAAUUUACUAAGUCUAGGCCAACUGCUCCAAAACGGAUUUGUGAUGAAAAUGGAUGACAAUUGUCUCAAUAUCUUUGAUCAAAAUAGAAGAUCAAUCAUUCAAGCUCAUCUAGACAUUUCGUGUGGUGAUGAAUGUUGUCAAACAUCACUGUUUUGUUGUUUCUAAAAACAAAACAGAAUGGUUAUGGGAUUUGAGGUUUGGACGUCUAAAUUUUAGAUAUUUAUCUCAACUGAGUUAGCAAAAAAUGGUUGAAGGCCUACCUAUGAUUGAAAUUCCUAAAGCAAUAUGUAAAGAAUGCAUUCAAUGUAAGCAAACUAGAGGAAAAUUUCAUAAGUUCUUGCCUCAAAGGACAAUAGAGAAAUUGAAUGUGGUAUAUUCAGAUGUGUGUGGGCAUUUUCAAACUAAAACACUUGGAGACUGGAAGUAUUUCUUGUUCUUUGUUGAUGAUUGGACCAGGAAAAGCUGGACAUACUUGCUAUCAAGGAAUAAUGAGGUGUUGCAAGUUCUAAUAAAAUUCAAGAAUAUGGUAGAAAGACAAAGUGAAAAAAAGAUAAAAACCAUCAGGAUAGAUGGAGGAGGAGAGUAUACGUCUAUAGAACAUGAGAUUAUCCCUCCUUAUAUUUGGAAGAUAUAAUCAUUCACUAAACAUUCAAUCAAGAGUCGAGACUCUUCAAUACACGCCUAACUUGAGUGUCAUGUGUCUUUUGUAAGUACCUCCUCUCUCUAUUAGGGAGGCGACCGAACCGUUAAAGCUUGAAUAUCACCGAGCAGCCAAGAUUGCAGACGAUCGAACGAUCCAGACAGAAAGAAGAUAAUCGAAAAACCUAAUUUAAACAUUGGAAAGCGGUAAAGCCACAAGAAGAUUAGUCUAUUAAUCUCACAAAAAAUCUACACUGAAACAAUUUAUAUUUAAUUUUACUUAAUUUUGAAACUUAUACACUUAAAAGUAUUUAUUUUAUUAAUAAAUUCAAAGUAAAUUUCAAAAAUCUGUAUACAUAAUCGUGUAAAUUACUCCAUCGUGUAUUAUUAUACAUGAUCGUGAUGGUGUUGCGAUGACUUUGGAUCCAAAUUAAAGAAGGUUGCCCUUAUCAAUCAUCAUCAAAUUCCCAAGCGAAACCAUCUUCACUCAUUCACUCAAUCGACCACCACGGAUUCAAUCUUCAAUAGUGCUUUAAUUACACCCUCUUAAAGAUUGAAUCUAUACGUUUCAAACUAUCCAACAGUAUUGUGACACGUAGAAUACGCUUCACCGACGAACCGUGUCACAAGCUUGAAUCUUAUUGCUGCUCCACCACUUCCAUUAUCGUAAUCAGAUUGCAUCUAUUUCUUCCCUUCAAUCUUUCAUUAAAUCUCUUUCCUCGCUCUCCACCUCCUGUGUUGCAGAAGCUGCUCCCUUCACUGACAUAAUCGCCAACAGGUACGCCUUAUGUAAUUUCUUAAUUCAAUUUCUUUCUUCCCAUUCAAACAAUAUCCAAUAAAUUAUCAUUUCUUGAUUCUCAAUUUAUCUGUUGUUUCAAUUUUGGAAUGAAACCCAUAUGUCGGUCAAUCAUGCUUCAGUUCAUUUGGAAAAUUAAAUCACGAAUAUCCUUUUAGUUCUGAGGGAUGAAGAUGUGAUGUCGUAGGUAUAAUCUGUAACUAAAGACCAAAGAAAGUAAAGUUAAGAGUUCAGAAUGGGAUUCGUGGUGGUGAUAUCAUUGCCGUUAAUAUUGAUCAUCUUGAUAUUGGCUUUGGGGUGUUACCUGUGUGGCCGGGCCAAGGGUCGGCGACAAAACCCACAGCAGUAUGGGCCUCCUGCUCCUCCAGUACAGGCCCAACCCAAAUAAUGCCUACCUUGUGGUUCAUAGCUUAAUCUUGAAUAAAAUAGUAGAGCAUUGAAAUUUGUUUCCACAUUAGUGGGUAUAUUUGGUGAUUAAAUAUUUAAGUUCAUGACUUCAAAAAAAAAAAAUGAAGUAAAAUUAAUUAGUUAUUUGAUUUUCGUGUUUAAAUUAUAGUUUGUUUCAA
rnacentral:lncRNA from 1 species